rnacentral:rRNA from 1 species
GAUGAACGCUGGCGGCGUGCCUAAUACAUGCAAGUCGAGCGAACGGACGAGAAGCUUGCUCCUCUGAUGUUAGCGGCGGACGGGUGAGUAACACGUGGAUAACCUACCUAUAAGACUGGGAUAACUUCGGGAAACCGGAGCUAAUACCGGAUAAUAUUUUGAACCGCAUGUUUCAAAAGUGAAAGACGGUCUUGCUGUCACUUAUAGAUGUACCCGCGCUGCUUUAGCUAGUUGGUAAGUUAACGGCUUACCAAGGCAACGAUGAAUAGCCGACCUGAGAGGGUGAUCGGCCACACUGGAACUGAGACACGGUCCAGACUCCUACGGGAGGCAGCAGUAGGGAAUCUUCCGCAAUGGGCGAAAGCCUGACGGAGCAACGCCGCGUGAGUGAUGAAGGUCUUCGAAUCGUAAAACUCUGUUAUUAGGGAAGAACAUAUGUGUAAGUAACUGUGCACAUCUUGACGGUACCUAAUCAGAAAGCCACGGCUAACUACGUG